UAAAAAUUAUUUUAAAGAAAAUACCUAAUUGUCUAUUAGGAGAUAAUAUUACAAUUAUUUUUUUUAA
rnacentral:tRNA from 1 species